CUCAAACACAUCACCCACCCCUCCCUCGGCAUAGUGGUUGUGCAGAAGAAUGAAGCUGAAGCAGAGCUUGAGCAGUGUACAAUGGCCGUGUUUGUCAUCAUGGAGGAGGAGGAUCAUCUCUGGCCACCACAUGACAUUGGAAUUGUUCUUGAAGGUGUGGAAGUCCUCAAUGAGUUGCCAUCAGUCACACAUCGUUCCAGAGAUCUCAGUGCCUGCCCCGUCAAGUUCACUGUGUCUCUCAGGCCUGUCUCUCUCUCUUUCCUCCAGGGCUCCAGCUCUCCACAUGGAUAACCCCAGGCACAACAUGAAUCCAUGGAGACAUCCUGCCUUAUUGGUGAAUCACCUUUUUAAAACUGCAGGUGAGAGACCAUCAUCAUCGUCAUCAGCCCAUCGUCUUCUCCACAUGUUUGGUGAAAGGACAGACCCUUCUGUGCUUUUAUCUCUGUGUUAGAGAGCUCACUGAUUAUGUGCUAGUUAACUAACCAGACAAUGACCCCUCAAACAUGAAUCUCUUACAGAUCAUGUGCAUUGUGGUUUGGUUUUGAAGUUCACCUUCACAUUUUGGAUGUGAUACUCACACAGUGUCAUAUAAUCACGCGACAUUAGCAUGUAUCGCUCUGUUCCUGCACAGCCUCAUGACUUAUUUCAAGUGUGACUGGAGGAGAGGAACAGUAAUGAAUCUCAGUUUGCUUUUCAAGAUUUCUCAGUAACAAAGCACAAAACUACUUAAUAUCUAAUAUUUCAUUUUAGAAAAUAAAUAAAUGUGAAAAAUAUUUUUGGUAAUGAAUUCAUGGGGCUUUGUUUUCAAUCCAUACACUGUACCACUUAUCCAUUGAAGGGAGCUGGAGGUGCAGUACACCCUGGACAACUAUUCACACCUACAUUCAAUUUAGAGUCUUCAAUCAAUUAUGUAUUUCUUAGUGCACACACUCCACUG